rnacentral:tRNA from 1 species
UCCCUGGUGGUCCAGUGGUUAAGACUCUGUGCUGUCAAUACAGGGAGGCUGGGGUUCGAUCCCUGGUCAGGGAA